GGGGGGGUGGCGCAGUUGGAGUGUAUUGCGCUUGGAAAGUCCCGGCAGGUCGUCGGUUCGAAUCCGGCUCCCUCCA